rnacentral:lncRNA from 1 species
CGGUCAUUGUCAAUAUAAUAACCCAAUAAGAUUCGGGGUUGAAUUCACGAGGAACAACGUGAAUGGCGAUAAAUUAGGUCAAAAUAAUGGAUACAUGCUAAAAUUCAAACCUAAAGUAGAAGAAUAUAAAAAUGGGGGGAGGGGUUGAAUGGUACCACAACUAGUAUUUAUUUUUUGGAUUCUCUAAUAUUAAUUUGGGGCCAAAAAAAAUUAGAGUAUAAUCAAUUAGACUAAGAUCU